rnacentral:SRP_RNA from 1 species
GCCGGGCGCGGUGGCUUGUGCCUGUAGUCCCAGCUACUCGGGAGGCUGAGGCUGGAGGAUCGCUUGAGCCCAGGAGUUCUGGGCUGCAGUGCACUAUGCUGAUGGGGUGUCUGCACUAAGUUCGGCAUCAAUAUGGUGACCUCCCGGGAGCGGGGGACCACCAGGUUGCCUAAGGAGGGGUGAACCGGCCCAGGUCAGAAACGGAGCAGGUCAAAAUCCCGUGCUGAUCAGUAGUGGGAUCGCACCUGUGAAUAGCCACUGCACUCCAGCCUGGGCAACAUAGCGAGACCCCGUCUCU